UGGCGGCCUUAGCGCGGUGGUCCCACCUGACCCCAUGCCGAACUCAGAAGUGAAACGCCGUAGCGCCGAUGGUAGUGUGGGGUCUCCCCAUGCGAGAGUAGGGAACUGCCU
rnacentral:rRNA from 1 species